UUUUCCUUUGAUGAGUUCAGGGAGAACGGAUGUAAUCGUGCGAUACUUGCGGACCGCUUCCUUCAUGAGUUAGCGUUUAAGCUGUGGAAGGCACCCAAAUACGGAGCUUGAUUUCGCCAGUUAUUCAGUCAAAUUGGACGUUUGAUCAGUAAUCUUAACUUGCAUGGAGGAGCAUUUAGUAUCGUAAAAUAUUUUGGAGUUUGAACACUCAAUGCCUGAUGGUCAGGAAUAGAGUUCCUAAUAAAAUGCAACAAUCG
rnacentral:misc_RNA from 1 species